ACAACUUAAAUUUGGCAGAACUUUAUAUUAGCUUCCUUUAAUUUUUGAAGCACCUUCUCACGGGCAUAGCCAGCUCAAAUUACGGGGGGAAGAUGCCCGUUACGACUCUUAUGGCUAUAUUGCUCUACCUAUUACAGCAUCUUCAAGUAUAUAGAUGUCGGAAGAAAAACAGAAAAAAACUAUCUGAGUAUUAGAAUGUAAUGAAGAACAAGAAGAUGAGAGGAAGACUUAAUAAACCAGAACUUUAAAACUGCUCAGUUUUUCCCAAAUCCAAAGAAUACCCAACCUGACGCAUCAGAAAGACAAAGUGUUUUCACCUGGGAAUUACCUUUACAACGCCAGCCUGUCGAAAAAAACAGAGGGCAUGGUAUUGAAAUCUACAAUUGCUGCAGUAAAUACGCAUUUGCCUGUGCCUGAUGAUUCCGGAUUAUGCCAAGUCCCUUAUUGCUAUCCCAAGUUCAAGCCUUAAUAAAAAAAAUUAUUCUGGAUAUUACCAAAACUUGGUUUCGAGUUUCAGUUUCCCAAAAGAAAAAAAUAGAUGUAAUUUUUUUAGAUGUACUACUGUCGAAUCUGGCCAAACAACGAAAGAGCUAUCCGAUUUCACAGAACGAUUACGAAAGAGUAAACCUGUUAAUUCGGAAUUUCAAAUUUCAUUAAAAAAGGGAGUAAGCAUUGGCGCGAUGUUAUUGAAAGAAUUAUCUAUGCCACUCAGUUUUUAGCGAAAUAAAACUUAGCCUUCCGUGGUUCCAGUAACAAAUUAUUCGAAAGAUAUAAUGAUUUUCUAAAGUGUAUAGAAAUGAUCACAAAAUUUGACUCUAUCAAUGUCUGUAUAUAUUAAUAAAAUUCAAAGAAAAAAA